rnacentral:precursor_RNA from 15 species
GUCUUCCAUGCUCUCAUGGUACGCCAGCAAGGGCUGGUUUCUCCAGUAAUUUGUAUCUUCAUUAUAGCAUCAAUUACUGUUGAUGUCAGCCCCUUGCUGGUAUACUGCCCUCUACAAUCCUGAUG